GACGAACGCUGGCGGCGUGCUUAACACAUGCAAGUCGAACGGGGUUUGCGGAGUAGCAAUACGAAGUAAACCUAGUGGCGGACGGGUGAGUAACGCGUGAACAAUCUGUCUGUGCGAGGGGGAUAACAGCUGGAAACAGUUGCUAAUACCGCAUAAGACCACGAGGCCGCAUGGCCAUGAGGUAAAAGGAGCAAUCCGCGCACAGGUGAGUUCGCGUCCCAUUAGAUAGUUGGUGAGGUAACGGCCCACCAAGUCGACGAUGGGUAGCCGAUCUGAGAGGAUGAACGGCCACAUUGGGACUGAGAUACGGCCCAGACUCCUACGGGAGGCAGCAGUGGGGGAAUAUUGGGCAAUGGGGGAAACCCUGGACCCAGCAACGCCGCGUGAAGGAAGAAGGCCUUCGGUUGGUAAACGUUCUUUUACCAGGACGAAGAACGUGACGGUACCUGGA
rnacentral:rRNA from 1 species